rnacentral:rRNA from 1 species
AAAUAAUGCUGGGGUACGAUGCGGAGCGAAAUUAAGUAGCGAAGUAGCUGAUUUCACACUGUCGAGAAAAGUCUCUAUCGAGGUUAAAGGUGCCUGUACCGCAAACCGACACAGGUGGGUGAGGAGAGUAUCCUAAGGCCAGCGAGAGAACUGUUGUUAAGGAACUCGGCAAAAUGACCCCGUAACUUCGGGAGAAGGGGUGCCUUCGAAAGAAGGCCGCAGAGAAUAGGCCCAAGCGACUGUUUACCAAAAACAUAGGUUUCUGCUAAGUCGCAAGACGAUGUAUAGGAGCUGACGCCUGCCCGGUGCUGGAAGGUUAAGGGGAUCUGUUAGAGCAAUCGAAGCAGUGAACUUAAGCCCCAGUAAACGGCGGCCGUAACAAUAACGGUCCUAAGGUAGCGAAAUUCCUUGUCGGGUAAGUUCCGACCCGCACGAAAGGCGUAACGAUUUGGGCACUGUCUCAACAACAGACUCGGUGAAAUUGUAAUACCGGUGAAGAUGCCGGUUACCUGCGACAGGACGGAAAGACCCCAUGGAGCUUUACUGUAGCUUGACAUUGAGUCUCGGUGCUACAUGUACAGGAUAGGUGGGAGACUAUGAAGCAUGGACGUCAGUCUGUGUGGAGUCAUCCUUGGGAUACCACCCUUGUAGUACUGGGAUUCUAACCAGAGGCCAUGAAUCUGGUCUUGGGACACUGUCAGGUGGACAGUUUGACUGGGGCGGUCGCCUCCCAAAAAGUAACGGAGGCGCUCAAAGGUUCUCUCAGUACGGUCGGAAAUCGUACGAAGAGUGUAAAGGCAAAAGAGAGCUUGAUUGCAAGACAUACAGGUCGAGCAAGGACGAAAGUCGGACUUAGUGAUCCGGUGGUUCCGCAUGGAAGGGCCAUCGCUCAACGGAUAAAAGCUACCCUGGGGAUAACAGGCUGAUCUCCCCCAAGAGUCCACAUCGACGGGGAGGUUUGGCACCUCGAUGUCGGCUCAUCACAUCCUGGGGCUGUAGUAGGUCCCAAGGGUUGGGCUGUUCGCCCAUUAAAGUGGUACGCGAGCUGGGUUCAGAACGUCGUGAGACAGUUCGGUCCCUAUCCGUCGCAGGCGUAGGAAAUUUGAGGAGACCUGUCCUUAGUACGAGAGGACCGGGAUGGACGUACCGCUGGUGUACCAGUUGUUCUGCCAAGGGCAUGGCUGGGUAGCUAAGUACGGAAAGGAUAAGCGCUGAAAGCAUCUAAGCGCGAAGCCCACUUCAAGAUAAGAUUUCCCACCGCAAGGUUAAGAUCCCAGGAAGACUACCUGGUUGAUAGGUCAGAGGUGUAAGUGCAGUAAUGUAUUUAGCUUACUGAUACUAAUAGAUCGAGGACUUGACC